UCAGAUUUUGUUACCUCACUUAAAGACAAAGCUGAAUUAUUCGCUAAGAACUUUUUAUCUAUCUCAUUUCUUGAUUCGACCAAUCACAUUCUACCCGAUAAAACCGUCAAACAGGUUAAUCCAUCGCUUGACAUUCUUAUCACCCCAGCUUUUGUAUCAAAAGUGAUUUCUUGCUUAAACUUCUACAGACUGUGGUCCAGACGACAUACAUGUCAUAGUCUUGCAAAAGUGUUGUUCGGAGCUGUCGUCUAUACUUUCAAAACUAUUUAACAAAUGUUUAUAGAAGUCAUGUUUUCCACCCUGCUGGAAAGCUGUGAAUGUGUUUCCUAUUUUUUAAAAUUUUAGAUAGCGAUCCGACUUGUCUAUCUAUCAUCCCAUCGGUCUUCUUACUAGCAUAAGCAAGGUUUAUGAGUAUUUAAUUAACACACAAUUAAUCUCUCAUCUUGAAUCUAAUAACUUACUUUCUGAUCUGAAAUAUGGAUUUCGAUCUUCUCAUUCUACUGCUUAAUUUAAGUUUACUUUUACAGGUGGAUAUGCAAACAUUAUGGAGAAGUGAUGCCCAGUAUCUUAAAGAGAGGCAAAGGGUUACGAGAAAAUAGCGUGCUAGCAAGUGGUUGUAAAAUGGUUAUUUAUGUAGCCUAAAAAAAGAAAUAAGGAGUUAUUAUAUUAAGAAAAAAAAUUUAGUUCAUAAUCAUCCACAUGGGCCUGAGCAGUUCUGUAUGUAUAGUUCAGAAUGUCAACCAAAAGGUGUUCUCGAGCAGCAGACAAUGCUUCUGCUAUCUCAUGGUGCUAAUCCUACACUUAUAACAGACAAUUUAAACAGACAUGGUUUAAAGACUAGACCUCGUGAUAUAUAUAACAUAAAGCAAAGAAUGAAAUUUAAAGGUUUUUGUUAUGGUUGAAACUUCAAUUUUAAAUUGUAUGACUUUUCUAAAAGGUUAAUUAUCUUUUCUAAAAGGUUAUUUUUUUCCCUAUAAAAUAAACAGGUCUUGCACUCGAUGAAGUUAUAAAGGUUGUUGAAUUACCAAACGUCAUAUCCCAUAUUGAUGCAGAUCUUGAUAGAAAAGUAGAGUGUAUAACAUGGACAACUACUGAACAAAUAAAUUUGUUGAAAAAGUAUCCUGAGUGUAUCAUGCUUGAUGGUACCUAUAAGAUUAGCAACUUUUCUAUGCCAUUAUACACAAUGGCUGUUGUGGAUCAAAAUGGCAUUGGGCGACCUGUAGUGCAGUCUUUAGUUUAUCGUGAGGACCAGUCACAUCUACAGCUGCUAAUGACACAUGCUAAGGAAUGGGCUGGGAUUGAAACUUUUCAAAAGUCGAUAGUCAUGGUUGAUAAAGCUCAAGCAGAAAUAUCUGGACUACAGUCCCUUUUUCCAGGAAAUAAAAUAUUUCUCUGUCGCUUUCAUGUAGCUAAAGCUUUUAUUUAUCAAAUUAAAAAGGGUAGACUUACUGCUGACGAUCAGGAAUUAUUAUUCAAGGCUACUCAGAAAUUAAUGUACAGUAAUCAGGCAACAUGCGCUGAAGCUUUCUUAAAUAUUGAAAAAAAUUUCCCUACGUUCUAUGUGUAUCUUCAAGAAAAGUGGCUGACCAUACCAGAAAUGUUUAUGGGUCACUAUAGAAAAGGUCUGAUGCAUUUAGACAAUCAUACUAAUAACAGACUUGAAAGAUAUCAUAGAACACUUAAAGAUGUUGUCCUUUUGUCACGCAUGUCACUGGGAAAUCUUAUAGAUAAAAUUCUAAAGGUUAAUAGAGUGCAAAUAGAAAAAUCUAAACAUGCAGACUUUGACCAACAACUAAAAGUUAACAAUAAACUUCCAGAGCCACUAAAGUUUUAUUCACAUCAUGUUUCUUCUUUUAUUCUUCGUCAUCUCAUAAAACAAUAUGAUAAAAGUGUCAAGUCUGAUUUUAGUUUAUAUGAGGACAGAGAUUCAUUACAAAUAAUCAAUCGGCAAUCAACUUUUUAUAACAUAAUAGACUGGGUUUGCAUCUGUAACGCUGCAUCAGGGUUUGGCGUGCCGUGUGCACAUGUUCUUUUUGCUCUAAGAACGAAAAAUGUAACUGUUAAUGAUCUAUAGUUGAUUCAUAAAAGGAGUUGUAAUAAGAUGAGACCCAUGAGGUAGAGCUGGAGAAUUAGAUUAUCCUUUGUUGUUGACUUUGUUAAAAUUAGUUGAAGAGAGAUUCAGACAUUUAUGAAUGAGUCUGGUAUCAAGUUUAUGAAUUAGUCUGAUAUCGAACAAAAAGUUGCAUUCUUUACCACAACUUUAAGAUGUACAAGACUCAAAGUUUCUUAUAUCUUUAUUGUUCCCAAUAUUCAACAUUGCAUUAUGUUGAAAAUAUUAGAAACCAUAAAAAUCUAUGAAUUGAAAACUACAAACUAAUUAGAAAAACAGAAGUUAUAACAUCUUAAAUUUAAAUUGUUUACUUAAAACCACACAAUGUUUUUCAAUAACCCAAACAACGACUGCUACAUCAGCAGCAGCAGCAGUAUCAAAAAAAGCAGGGUUGUCACCAAAUCAAGGAAAUCAGAGAUUUCAGGAAAAAUCAGAGAAAUUCAAAUACAAUCAGGGAAAAUGAUUGUUUUUGCAAAAAAUCAGGGAAUAUCAGGGAAUUUUUUUAUUUAUUACAAUUUUUAUAAUGUUUUAAAAUGUUUUUUAAUAUAAAUAUUCCAUUUCAGUGUACAUUUCAGGGUUAAUUUUUUUUUAAAUUAUUUAACAAAGUUAGUCAAAGUGUGUUUAUCUUUAUUUUAGAAUGGUCAAAAUUUUUUAAAAUCUGAAAUAUGAAUACUUGAAAUAUCUGGAGUAAACCUUUAAAGAUUUAACGAAAAAAUCAGGGAAAAAUAAUCAAAAUUUCAGCGAAAAAAUCAGGGAAAAUCAGGGAAUUUUAUUCCUAAAUAACAUUGGCAACCCUGUUUGUAAAAUGUUAUAUGUUUGCUAAAACUUAUAAUACUUAUUUAACCACUAUUUAUAUUGUAUCAAUCAUAUAUAUUUCUGAACAAGGUCUUACAGUCAAGGAUACUUACAAUUACUUUAAAACUAAUAUAAAGUAAACACCUAACGAUAAUCAUAUUAAAUAAUAUUAGUGAUACAAAUAAUAAUUAUAAAGAUAAUAGUUAUAAAUUAUCAACACCAAU